rnacentral:tRNA from 1 species
GCGGGGGUGGCGGAAUUGGUAGACGCACUGGAUUUAGGUUCCAGCGCCGCAAGGCGUGUGAGUUCGAGUCUCAUCCCCCGCACCA